rnacentral:rRNA from 1 species
UGCUCGAGUGGCGAACGGGUGAGUAACACGUGAGUAACCUGCCCUUGACUUUGGGAUAACUCCAGGAAACUGGGGCUAAUACCGGAUAGGAGCUCCUGCUGCAUGGUGGGGGUUGGAAAGUUUCGGCGGUUGGGGAUGGACUCGCGGCUUAUCAGCUUGUUGGUGGGGUAGUGGCUUACAAAGGCUUUGACGGGUAGCCGGCCUGAGAGGGUGACCGGCCACAUUGGGACUGAGAUACGGCCCAG